rnacentral:rRNA from 1 species
GAUGAACGCUGGCGGCGUGCCUAAUACAUGCAAGUCGAGCGAACGGACGCGGAGCUUGCUUUUCUGAUGUUAGCGGCGGACGUGUGUGUAACGCGUGGAUCACGUACCUAUAAGACUGGUAUAACUUCGGGAAACCGGAGCUAAUACCGGAGAAUAUUUUGAACCGCAUGGUUGAAAGGAGAAAGACGGUCGUGCUGUCACUUAUAGCUGGAUCCGAGCUGCAUUAGCUAGUUGGUGAGGUAACGGCGUACCAAGGCAACGAUGCAUAGCCGACGUGAGAGAGUGAUCGGCCACCCUGGAAGUGAGCCACGGACAAGGCGCCUACGGGACGCAGCAGUAGGGAAUCUGCGGCAGUGGGCGAAAGCAUGACGGAGCAACGGCGCGUGAGUGAUGACAGUGUUCGGAUCGUAAAACUCUGUUACUAGUGAAGAACAUAUGUGUCAGUAACUGUGCACAUCUUGACGGUAACGAAUAAGAAAGCAACGGCUAACUACGUG